AAUGAACGUUGGCGGCGUGGAUUAGGCAUGCAAGUCGAGCGGGUGUAGCAAUACACCAGCGGCGAAAGGGAGAGUAACGCGUAGUUUACGUACCCCGAGGACCGGAAUAGCUGCGGGAAACUGCAGGUAAUGCCGGAUAAUAUCUUCGGAUCAAAGGUGUGAUUCCGCCUUGGGAGCGGACUGCGUUGUACUAGCUAGUUGGUAGGGUAAUGGCCUACCAAGGCAACGAUGCAUACCGGGCGUGAGAGCGUGGCCCGGCUCACUGGGACUGAGACACUGCCCAGACACCUACGGGAGGCAG
rnacentral:rRNA from 1 species